GACGAACGCUGGCGGCGUGCUUAACACAUGCAAGUCGAACGGAAAGGCCCUGCUUUUGUGGGGUGCUCGAGUGGCGAACGGGUGAGUAACACGUGAGUAACCUGCCCUUGACUUUGGGGUAACUUCAGGAAACUGGGGCUAAUACCGGAUAGGAGCUCCUGCUGCCUGGUGGGGGUUGGGAAGUUUCGGCGGUUGGGGAUGGGCGCGCGGGUUGUCAGCUUGUUGGGGGGGUAGUGGCUUACCAAGGCUUUGACGGGUAGCCGGCCUGAGAGGGUGGCCGGCCACAUUGGGACUGAGAUACGGCCCAGACUCCUACGGGAGGCAGCAGUGGGGAAUAUUGCACAAUGGGCGGAAGCCUGAUGCAGCAACGCCGCGUGCGGGAUGACGGCCUUCGGGUUGUAAACCGCUUUCGCCUGUGACGAAGCGUGAGUGACGGUAAUGGGUAAAGAAGCACCGGCUAACUACGUG
rnacentral:rRNA from 1 species